AAGUAAACCCCCUUGAAGACGACGAGGUAGAUAGGGCAGAGGUGGAAGUGCAGCAAUGCAUGGAGCUGACUGUUACUAAUCGGGUGAGGGCUUGACCAA
rnacentral:rRNA from 1 species